AAUAUUUCACAAUGGGUGCAAACCUGAGACAGCAACACAACGAGAGUGAAGAGGGUAAUGGGUCGUAAAACUCUUUCAGCAGGGAAGAAGGGUAAUAAGGUAAAUACUUGAAGGUACAUGCUUAAGAAGCACCGGGUAACUCCGUGCCAGCAGCCGCGGUAAUACGGAGGGUGCGAGCGGUGUUUGGAAUUUCUGGGCGUAAAGGGGGUGUAGGCGGGUUGAUAAGUUGGUUGUGAAAGUCCAGAGGUUAACUUUGGAAAUGCAGCCGAAAUUAUUAGUGUUGAAUGCUAGUGAGGAGGGCGGAAUUCCUGGUAAGAAGUGGAAUUCGGAGAUAUCAGGAGGAACGCCGGAGGCGAAGGGGGCCAUUUGGCAGUGCAUUGCACCUGAGACGGGGAAGGGUGGGGGACAAACAGGAGGGAUUCCCUUGUAGUUCACGCCCGAA
rnacentral:rRNA from 1 species